AUUGAACGCUGGCGGCAUGCUUUACACAUGCAAGUCGAACGGCAGCGCGGGCUUCGGCCUGGCGGCGAGUGGCGAACGGGUGAGUAAUACAUCGGAACGUGCCCAGUUGCGUGGGAUAGCUCGGCGAAAUCCGGAUUAAUACCGCAUACGCCCUGAGGGUGAAAGCGGGGGAUCUUCGGACCUCGCGCUAUUGGAGCGGCCGAUGGCCGAUUAGCUAGUUGGUGGGGUAAAGGCCUACCAAGGCGACGAUCGGUAGCUGGUCUGAGAGGCCGACCGGCCACCCGGGGACUGAGACGCGGCCCAGACUCCUACGGGAGGCAGCAGUGGGGAAUUUUGGACAAUGGGCGAAAGCCUGAUCCAGCAAUGCCGCGUGUGUGAUGAAGGCCUUCGGGUUGUAAAGCACUUUUGGCGGGAACGAAAAGGAAUGUGCCAAUACCACGGUUCGAUGACGGUACCCGCAGAAUAAGCACCGGCUAACUACGUG
rnacentral:rRNA from 1 species